GGAGAGAUGGCUGAGUGGACUAA
rnacentral:tRNA from 1 species